AACUGGAUAUGGCAAAUAGGUGCCCUACGUGUGGGGAGAAUAGGGAAUCGGGUGCGAGUCCCGAGCGAUCCCGUCACUGUGAUCGGGGAGCAAGCCGGAAACAGCCACUGUUACUCAAGCUUGACCAGGCGAAGGGUAAUGGGAAGGCUCCGGGGAGCGAAGAUCCGUCAGCCAGGAGACCUGCCUAUUUGCGACGUGUUCA
rfam:Moorella glycerini strain NMP genome assembly, contig: M_glycerini_NMP_DRAFT_scaffold-10